rnacentral:rRNA from 1 species
UACGAAGGGGACUAGCGUUGUUCGGAUUUACUGGGCGUAAAGCGCGCGUAGGCGGAUCGCUAAGUCAGGGGUGAAAUCCCAGGGCUCAACCCUGGAACUGCCUUUGAUACUGACGAUCUGGAGAUCGGGAGAGGUUGGUGGAAUUCCGAGUGUAGAGGUGAAAUUCGUAGAUAUUCGGAGGAACACCAGAAGCGAAGGCGGCCAACUGGCCCGAUACUGACGCUGAGGCGCGAGAGCGUGGGGAGCGAACCGG